rnacentral:rRNA from 1 species
UGCGAGUCUUUGCAGUAAUGCAAGGCAUACGGCUCAGUAACACGUAGUCAACUUACCCUAUGGACGAGGAUAAUCUCGGGAAACUGAGCAUAAUACUCGAUAGAUCAUAAUGCCUGGAAUGGUUUAUGGUUGAAAUGAUUCGUCGCCAUAGGAUGGGACUGCGGCCCAUCAGCUUGUUGGUGAGGUAAUGGCCCACCAAGGCGAUUACAGGUACGGGCUCUGAGAGGAGAAGCCCGGAGAUGGGUACUGAGACAAGGACCCAGGCCCUAUGGGGCGCAGCAGGCGAGAAAACUUUGCAAUGUGCGAAAGCACGACAAGGUUAAUCCGAGUGAUUCCUGCUAAAGAAAUCUUUUGCAAGUCAUAAAACCACUAGUGAAUAAGGGGUGGGCAAGUUCUGGUGUCAGCCGCCGCGGUAAAACCAGCACCUCAAGUGGUCAGGAGGAUUAUUGGGCCUAAAGCAUCCGUAGCCGGCUCUGUAAGUUUUCGGUUAAAUCCAUGUGCUCAACGCAUGGGCUGCCGAAAAUACUGCAUAGCUAGGGAGUGGGAGAGGUAGACGGUACUCGGUAGGAAGGGGUAAAAUCCUUUGAUCUAUCGAUGACCACCUGUGGCGAAGGCGGUCUACCAGAACACGUUCGACGGUGAGGGAUGAAAGCUGGGGGAGCAAACCGGAUUAGAUACCCGGGUAGUCCCAGCUG